rnacentral:rRNA from 1 species
AUUGAACGCUGGCGGCAGGCCUAACACAUGCAAGUCGAACGAAUGGCGGACGGGUGAGUAAUGUCUGGGCAACUGCCUGAUGGACGGGGAUAACUACUGCAAACGGUAACUAAUACCGCAUACCAUCGGAUGUGCACAGAUGGAAAUAGCUAGUUGGUGGGGUAACGGCUAACCAAGGCGACGAUCCCUAGCUGGUCUGAGAGGCUGACCAGUCACACUGGAACAGAGAUACGGUCCAGAUGGCGCCGAGAGGUAGUAGGGGGGAAUGGUGCACAAUGGGCGCAAGCCUGAUGCAGACAUGCCGCGUGUAUGAAGAAGGCAUUCGGGUUGUAAAGUACUUUCAGAGGGGAGGGGUUACCCGCAGAAGAAGGAACGGCUAACUCCGUGCCAGCAGCCGCGGUAAUAC